rnacentral:rRNA from 1 species
AGUGAACGCUGGCGGUAGGCCUAACACAUGCAAGUCGAACGGCAGCACAGUAAGAGCUUGCUCUUACGGGUGGCGAGUGGCGGACGGGUGAGGAAUACAUCGGAAUCUACUUUUUCGUGGGGGAUAACGUAGGGAAACUUACGCUAAUACCGCAUACGACCUACGGGUGAAAGCAGGGGAUCUUCGGACCUUGCGCGAUUGAAUGAGCCGAUGUCGGAUUAGCUAGUUGGCGGGGUAAAGGCCCACCAAGGCGACGAUCCGUAGCUGGUCUGAGAGGAUGAUCAGCCACACUGGAACUGAGACACGGUCCAGACACCUACGGGAGGCAGCAGUGGGGAAUAUUGGACAAUGGGCGCAAGCCUGAUCCAGCCAUACCGCGUGGGUGAAGAAGGCCUUCGGGUUGUAAAGCCCUUUUGUUGGGAAAGAAAAGCAGCAGGUUAAUACCCCGCUGUUCUGACGGUACACAAAGAAUAAGCACCGGCUAACUUCGUG